rnacentral:tRNA from 1 species
CGCGGGGUGGAGCAGUCUGGUAGCUCGUUGGGCUCAUAACCCAAAGGUCACAGGUUCGAAUCCUGUCCCCGCUACCA